AUCAGGAAGAAAGCUUGCUUUCUUUGCUGGCGACCGGCGCACGGGUGAGUAACACGUAUCCAACCUGCCGUCUACUCUUGGACAGCCUUCUGAAAGGAAGAUUAAUACAAGAUGGCAUCAUGAGUCCGCAUGUUCACAUGAUUAAAGGUAUUCCGGUAGACGAUGGGGAUGCGUUCCAUUAGAUAGUAGGCGGGGUAACGGCCCACCAAACCUACGAUGGAUAGGGGUUCUGAGAGGAAGGUCCCCACAUUGGAACUGAGACACGGCCCAAACUCC
rnacentral:rRNA from 1 species